rnacentral:tRNA from 1 species
GGGAUUGUGGCUCAGUGGUAGAGCGCUCAUUUAGCAAGUGCGAGGUGCUGGGUUCCAUCCUCAGCACCA